UGGGGAAUUUUGGACAAUGGGCGAAAGCCUGAUCCAGCAAUGCCGCGUGUGUGAAGAAGGCCUUCGGGUUGUAAAGCGCUUUUGUCCGGAAAGAAAUCCUUGGCUCUAAUACAGUCGGGGGAUGACGGUACCGGAAGAAUAAGCACCGGCUAACUACGUGCCAGCAGCCGCGGUAAUACGUAGGGUGCAAGCGUUAAUCGGAAUUACUGGGCGUAAAGCGUGCGCAGGCGGUUUGCUAAGACCGAUGUGAAAUCCCCGGGCUCAACCUGGGAACUGCAUUGGUGACUGGCAGGCUAGAGUAUGGCAGAGGGGGGUAGAAUUCCACGUGUAGCAGUGAAAUGCGUAGAGAUGUGGAGGAAUACCGAUGGCGAAGGCAGCCCCCUGGGCCAAGUACUGACGCUCAUGCACGAAAAGCGUGGGGGAGCAAAACAGGAUUAGAUACCCCUGGUAGUCCACGCCCCUAAAACGAUGUCAACUAGUUGUUGGGGAUUCAUUUCCUUAGUAACGUAGCUAACGCGUGAAGUUGACCGCCUGGGGAGUACGGUCGCAAGAUUAAAACUCAAAUGAAUUGACGGGGUCAUAGCUGUUUCCU
rnacentral:rRNA from 1 species